ACAUACCUUAUGUUGCCUCGGCGGAUCAGCCCGCGCCCCGUAAAAAGGGACGGCCCGCCGCAGGAACCCUAAACUCUGUUUUUAGUGGAACUUCUGAGUAUAAAAAACAAAUAAAUCAAAACUUUCAACAACGGAUCUCUUGGUUCUGGCAUCGAUGAAGAACGCAGCAAAAUGCGAUAAGUAAUGUGAAUUGCAGAAUUCAGUGAAUCAUCGAAUCUUUGAACGCACAUUGCGCCCGCCAGUAUUCUGGCGGGCAUGCCUGUUCGAGCGUCAUUUCAACCCUCAAGCCCAGCUUGGUGUUGGGAGCUGCAGUCCUGCUGCACUCCCCAAAUACAUUGGCGGUCACGUCGAGCUUCCAUAGCGUAGUAAUUUACACAUCGUUACUGGUAAUCGUCGCGGCCACGCCGUUAAACCCCAACUUCUGAAUGUUGACCUCGGAUCAGGUAGGAAUACCCGCUGAACUUAAGCAU
rnacentral:rRNA from 1 species